AAAGAUGGUUGACCAUAAAACAUGCGCUACCUCUGUGUCGUAUGUAGUAUGGUCCACAUCUUCU
rfam:Cricetulus griseus cell line CHO-K1, whole genome shotgun sequence.